GCUGAUGGCAGGACACUCCCGGCCUCUCCUGGUGACUUCACAAACCUAGAACCUCUCCGCGCCGCACCCACCCGCUCUCCUCAAGGACAAGGCGGCUGCUCCUGCCAGCUACUGGGGCAUCAGUGGAAUCCAGAGGACAUGCAGGGUGCAAGUAGCAGAGCUGGAAAUCAGAGCUCAUCCCCAACACCACAUCCCGGUGGCUGCUCCUCUACGGUGACCUCACUUUUGAAUCCCACUUCCUCUGAAGAACCCACUGGAUACACACCCACUGGAAGCACCCACUGGAGCAUUGGUGGUUUUGCAGCCCACAGGGAAAGAGAUGAUUGGAAAACUUCCAGAGCAUCUGUCAGCUGCCUGAGAACUAGACUUGCUAAUACACAGUCCUAAUUUCUUUCUUCCUUAUUGGAAGUGGGUGGCACUGAGAACUGAUUCUCUGUAACCUCCAGAAGCUUUCUGCUCAACGACACAGACUUCUUCGACUCUAUUCUUGCUGGUGAUUUUCCCUAGUUGUUUGGCACAAAUCCCUGCACAUACUGGAAAUUCCAAGGCUAUGAAUGUGCCUAGUCACGCUGUUGGUCAGAUGCCUGGGAAGACUCUCUAUGAAACACCCUGGGGUCAGACAAAUGUCAUCUGCAUCCCACUGACCUCUCCAAGUUGAAGCAUGAAAAAAAAAGUGUCUUCCUGUUGACUUCCAUUGCAUACAUUCUUCAGAAAUCAUUGUCUUUGUCCACCGCUGUUUACAAUGCCCCACUGUCCAAGUUGCAUGAUCACCAACCCGGUGCUCCCUCGCCUGGGUCCCACAGAAAGCUACAUGUCUGGCUCCAUUCACUUGGAAGCUGCUUCAUCGUUUGCAUUCAGUUUGUGUAUAUUAAUUUUUAGAAGUGUGCACAGCAAUUAAAUGUUGAAGUGGAGAAACAUUUGCACUCUCUCUACUUCCAGUCCCAGACUUUGGCCUGGCUCUCAUUCCUUCACGUGGAAAUGGUGUGUGUAGUGGAGGCUGUGAUCUGCUACCCAGAUUCCCUCCUCAUGACUGUGCUAACCCUUCUGUCAGUUGCCAGAUGUGCUGGCCGCCCUUAGCUCACAGCCGAGUUCCACUAGGCAGUAACCCUCAGCCUCAAAGCAGUUGGGUUGCCCAAGAUUUGUCUCCGUUUCCCCCAUCUUUAGAGCAUUCCAAGAGUAAAGAGACUGAGGAAGAUGGCGAGGGGGUUACAAAACCUGGCUCCCAAGCUCCAGGUUGUCACAACCCUGCAGGGCCACCUUGUCCUGGCUCUCCCUGUUGGAUCAGCUGAGCCCUCUGUUGCUACUGUGCUAUGGCCCAACUUCUCUUUGGUCCUGUCUUGCUUCCCUCCAUCUCACUUUUGGUUCAUUUAUUUGUAUUUGUUAGGAAGCGGGAGGGAGAAAGAGAGAGAGAGGGAGAACUUCCAUCCAUAAGUUCACUCCCCCAAAUGCCUUCAAGAGCUGGAGCUGGACCAGGCUGAAGCUCGAGACCAGAACUCUUUCUGGGUCUCCCAUGUGGAUGGCAGGGGUAGAAGUACUUGGGUCAUCAUUUGCUGCCACCGAGAGGGUGCAGUUAGCAGAGAGCUGGAUCCGAAGAGGAGGCUGGAUUGGACCCCAGGCACUCUGACUUGAAUGUGGGCUUUGCAAGCAGUGGCUUAACAAUGGCUGGCCCCUCCCAUCUCCUGUUGGUGUUACAUCACUGCCCCUAGUCAGACAUUCGUCCACAAAUCUCCACAUCAGAAGCUAUUUGCCAGAAAACCCAACCUAUGCCUGAGUAGAAGUCUAUCACUCUACCUGUGUUGAGUUCAAGUCAACCUCUUCAUACCUUUCUCCUGCCAUUGGACUUAAUCAACAGACCCAUUUAAGUCCUGGGGUCCUUUUUCCUAUGUGAGUGCUCUCAGUUUUGGAAGCUAUGCCUUGGGAUUCCACAUCAAAAGCUCUUCUUUAGACUUCACAACCCAACCCUGCAGGAAGAGAGAGACAGAGAGAGAGAUGCAGAAAAGAAAACAUUCCUGAGUGCCCUGGUGUGCAGCCACCUGACAGGUACCACAGCCCAGCCCUCUGGGAAAGCCGUGGCUGCUGCGGUUAGAAACUCAGACCCCAGAAAGCCAACGGGGGGGGGGGGGGGGGACUGCAGGGGAAGUCCUCUGAUGAGAGAGACGUCCGUCUCUGCUGCAGGAUUUUAAUGUGUUUCUAUUCAGGUGGCUUCAGCAUGGACUUGGGGCCCUACAACCUUGGCACAGGGAGUAGCUCUUUCCAUGGACUCAGAGUGAGGGAGAGGCGGCUGGGAUCAGGAUCCGUGCGUUCCCUGAGUCUGCUCGCAUUCCACAGUUUAUGUACUGAAACCAGGGCAUGUUUUGUGAAGAAAGUAAUACUUGACUAAAUUGUCCCCCUGACGUAAACCUAUAAUUUAAAAAUUAUAUAUAUUUAGAGAACAAGUCAAAACAGGAAGCACAUUCCCAAAGUGGAGAAAAGCUAUUUAUGCAUUAAAAUGCCUACUACUGCCCAAGAAGACCUGUGUCCCUGGGCUUAAAUAGGAAAACUCGGAAAAAUACAGGAAGAAAGCGAAAAGGAGCCUGCCCACGUGUGUGUGUCUGGACAGGCUGUGGGUGCCACCUAUGACAAGGGCAGAUGGUCGCUCUGCUCUGUGCUUCCCGGGAGAGGCCGUGAUGGCCUUUGGUCCACCCAGUGUGGCUAUUGCAAGGGCAGAGCCCAAGUUCAGACCACGCAUGCUAGAAAGGAAUAUAUGAUCUCAUAGAGGAAAAGGUGACCAGCGGGAAAAUUUAACCCCAACUCAAGCAGAGCUAGAAAGAAAGAAGGACUGUGCCAGGCAGGGCAGGGGUGGGCAUUAGGGUCAGCAGUUACGAUGUCAGUGAAUUCAACAUUCGCAUCCCUCAUCGAAGUUGGUGGGUUCAAGGCUCGGCUCCAGUUCCAGACUCCAGCUUCCUGCUAUUGCAGACCCUGGGAGGCAGCAGUGAUGGGUCAAGUGAUUGGGUUCUUGCUACCUAUGUGGGGGAACCCAGAUUGAGUCGCUGGCUCUCACCUUUGGCCCGAGGUAGGGGCUAUUGGAGGCAUUUGGAGAGUGAGCUCUCUCUCUUCCUAUCUGUCUCUCAAAUAAAUGCAUUUUUAAAGUAGGGACA
rnacentral:lncRNA from 1 species